GACGAACGCUGGCGGCGUGCUUAACACAUGCAAGUCGAACGGAAAGGCCCUGCUUUUGUGGGGUGCUCGAGUGGCGAAAGUGUGAGUAACACGUGAGAAACCUGCCCUUGACUUUGGGAUAACUUCAGGAAACUGGGGCUAAUACCGGAUAGGAGCUCCUGCUGCAUGGUGGGGGUUGGAAAGUUUCGGCGGUUGGGGAUGGACUCGCGGCUUAUCAGCUUGUUGGUGGGGUAGUGGCUUACCAAGGCUUUGACGGGUAGCCGGCCUGAGAGGGUGACCGGCCACAUUGGGACUGAGAUACGGCCCAGACUCCUACGGGAGGCAGCAGUGGGGAAUAUUGCACAAUGGGCGGAAGCCUGAUGCAGCAACGCCGCGUGCGGGAUGACGGCCUUCGGGUUGUAAACCGCUUUCGCCUGUGACGAAGCGUGAGUGACGGUAAUGGGUAAAGAAGCACCGGCUAACUACGUG
rnacentral:rRNA from 1 species